AAAUAAGUGUAUAAGCUGACAGAGCACCAUGGAGUUAUGUGAACAGUGAGGACUAUCACUGCAGGACGUUACUAUGCACAGAGCUCUGGUUUGGUUUGACUAUGGCAAAUCUGCCUGUUCAACAGCCCCUCUAAAUAGGGAGUUUCUCAUUUUACAUUUUCCUCUUACCAAAUAACAGUGUCUUCUCUCGUAUCCAUUGUCUAUGAGGCUGUAAAUGGUAUAGUUAUACCUUUGGUGUUCUUAAUUGCCCAUCAAACUGUUCUGCCUUUAACACUUUUUGUUGUAAAUGUCAGAACAUGCAUAGUGACCUUUUUUCUAGCUGCAAGCCUCCAGAGAAGCAGGAGCAGCAGCUCUGAGAAACGUGGCCCAGAGAUUAUUUGAAAACUACCAAACGCAAUCUGAAGAAGUGAGAAAGAAGCAGGAGGACAGUAAACAAUUACUCCAGGUUAACAAGCUUGAAAAAGAACAGAAAUUGAAACAACAUGUUGAAAAUCUGAAUCAAGUUGCUGAAAAACUUGAAGAAAAACACAGUCAAAUUACAGAAUUGGAGAACCUUGUACAGAGAAUGGAAAAGGAAAAGAGAACACUACUAGAAAGAAAACUGUCUUUGGAAAACAAGCUACUGCAACUCAAAUCCAGUGCUACAUAUGGAAAAAGAAACCUCUGAAGAUCUCUUAAACUGGGUUCUUCAUUCCUCUGAGUGACGACUAGCAAAAAGCCAUUUUCCAACUUUUCCAUCUGCCCUGCCACAUCACGAACAAAUAUGCAGGCCUUUUUAAGAGUUAUCUUUUGGGGAAACAUAUUUGGGAUUGAUAUGGUUUGGCUGUGUCCCCACCCGAAAAGAUGAGAAUCUUGAAUUGUAGUUCCCAUAAUCCCUACAUGUCAUGGGAGAAACCUGGUGGGAGGUAAUUGAACCAUGGGGGCGGUUAGCCCAAUGCUGCUGUUCUCAUGAGUUCUCACAAGUUCUGAUGGUUUUAUAAGGGGCUUUUCCUCCUUUUGCUUUGCACUUCUCCUUGCUGCAUGGUUUUGGCCCGCCAUGUGAAGAAGGACAUGUUUACUUGCCCUUCCAACAUGACUGUAAGUUUCCUGAGGCCUCCCCAGCCCUGCAGAACUGUGAAUCAACUAAACCUCUUUCCUUUAUAAAUUACCCAGUCUCGGGUAUGUUUUCAUAGCAGCAUGAGAACAGACUAAUACAGGGAGCUGUAAAAAUAAACAGUGUUGGCC
rnacentral:lncRNA from 1 species